rnacentral:rRNA from 1 species
UACGAAGGGGGCUAGCGUUGCUCGGAAUCACUGGGCGUAAAGGAUGCGUAGGCGGGUCUUUAAGUCAGGGGUGAAAUCCUGGAGCUCAACUCCAGAACUGCCUUUGAUACUGAAGAUCUUGAGUCCGGGAGAGGUGAGUGGAACUGCGAGUGUAGAGGUGAAAUUCGUAGAUAUUCGCAAGAACACCAGUGGCGAAGGCGGCUCACUGGCCCGGUACUGACGCUGAGGCACGAAAGCGUGGGAGCAACAGG